AGAAUUACAGGCCAAUGGGAUUAAGCAAAAUUUCAGCAUUUGAUCCUCAUUUCAUGUUUUGCCAUCCUACUCAACCUCCACAUUUACAUGAAUUCUGUCAAACAGAUCAAGCUUUCAAGGGAAUUGCCUUCAGAUUAAAGACAUAAAGCAGCGGACUUCUGUACAAUGUGAUUAUCCCUCAAGUAUUGUGCUCUAGAUAUGGUUUGAGUGUUGCGGCAACCAUGACUUCCUUUGUGAAAGUACUUCUGUUGAUUUUCUUCCUCAUUGCAUAUCCAAUUAGUAAGGUGUUGGAUUGGCUUUUUGGCAAGGGGCAUAGUGCACUUCUAGAAAGAGAAGAGCUCAAGGCUUUGGUUCAAUUACAUUCCAAUGAGGCAGGUAAAGGGGAAGAGUUGUCACUUCAUGAAGCUACAAUAAUUGCUGGAGCAUUAGACUUAACAUUGAAGACUGCUAAAGAUGCCAUGACACCAAUAAGUGAAACAUUUUCUCAUCAAGGGUGAAGUGAAGUGAACAUCAAAGAUGCUGCAACUUAUUCACAUGGACUUCGCGCCUUUGAAAUGGUAGAUUAUACUAGUAUCUCAACUGAUGCAUCAAAUUUGACCUCACAAGAAACAGAAUAUUAUAGUGCAACACUAAAGAAUGCCAUGAAGCUAGAGGGUGACUCGGAUGCAUUGCGCGCAAGAUCACAACAAGAAAGCAAAGCAAAUGUAUCAUUUGAGAAAGCAACAGAUGAUAGUGAAGCAAGUUCUAAAUGGUUAUCUAAGGAUGAUGACGAUCAAGGUGACAAGGUUGCUGCCUUCCCUAUUUUGAAUGAAUUCAUGUCUGACUCUGACAAAUCCUUUUUAUUUUGCUUUGAAUAUUUUGUAUUAUUAAUGGAUUGUAAUUUAAACGAAUAUAAAUCCGAGUUUAGUUAUUUAUCUUGUCUUGAGUCUUUAUA